CACUGCCGGAAGCCGCAGACGCGCGUGCUCUCGCGGGGAUGCUUGUGCUCUCGCGCUAACGCGCGUCGUCUCGCGGGACAUGCGCUGCAGGGGAUGCGCGUACUCCCGCGGUCCUGGAGGCAGAGCUGUGGUGUCCUGGCGCGCAGGCUCUGGCGGAGCGGGUGGCGCCAGUCCCCUGGUGGGUGCCGGACCCUGGUUGUGGCCACAUCCCCCCAUCCUCCGAGUGUUUGCAUUCCUGCAUGAUGAACUCAGAGGGGAAAACAGAAGGAUGAAGUAAGCUGAGAGAGACUAUAUCAACAAGUGGACAACGACAGGCUACCCAGUCAUUCAGCAAUGAGAUCGGGGCACCACGACCUCGUGUGGCAGCAGAGAGGCCACUGUGCGUGGAGCUCGAGAAAUGAGGAAACAAGCACUACAACGUGGCUGCGAUCUAGACGAGCCGAGUAAGAAGACUGGUGCCGCAGCGGGACAGACGGGACUUCACCGUCGGCUUCCCCAGACCCCUCCCGGCCUCCUGCCGUGGUCCAGGUGCUCAGCUCGUUCAAAGAGCCCCGCAGGUGACCGCUUCCCUCCGAGCUUCCUGGCUCCGGAGCCCUCCCGUGGGGUCGGGGCCGCGGGGCUCUGGGAACCGCGCGGCGCUGGCAGUGCAGCCGGUUCUUGUAGAAUUGAAUGCCAAGUGUACUUGCUCCUGCCGGGCCGGUGCAGGCAGAAAAAAGAUCAUCUUCCCUGACCGGGAAUCGAACCCGGGCCGCGGCGGUGAGAGCGCCGAAUCCUAACCACUAGACCACCAGGGAUGGUGCUAAGAGACGCUCGGAACAACCCUACAGGCUGGAUGCACCUGCCUCCGGCCUAAUAUUGAUUUUUGACCUCAGCAAGUGUGGCAAUAUCCGUUGAACCGAAAAAAAAAAGAAAAAGGGCGACUUUUUCUGAAAACGUGCAGACCAGGAGGAUGGUGCGAUAAGGACGCCCUAGGAGAGGCCGGAAGAGAACGUGUAACGGGAGGAGCCAAAUGUGCUCAAGGAAAACCACUUCCCUCCCCUCUUCCCUGCGGCAUCUGCUUCUCUGGCUGCAGCUCGGCUCCGCACAAACCCGCCCUCUCUUCCCGCCCGCGGACUCAAUCUCAGCAACCGGAGCCCGAGGCAGGAGGCCCGAGGCGCUCCUUUCCGCGUCAAGACCCCCUCCCCCACCCCCAGCCCCAUUCUCUGCCAAAGGCAGGGACUGCAGGUGUACAGGGGAAAGGGAAGUUUAAUAGGAGGAAUAGCAAUUCCAUUUUAUUCUCCAUUUCACGUCCCUUCCACAAAUAUUUAUUGAGUGAGUGCGCUCCACGCAGCUCUGCAGAGCAAGAGAGGCAGGGAAGGAGAGCACAGGAAAGGUUCCCGGGACAGGGAACUGGCUGAGAAUGCACCCCGCCGGGGCGGGGCGGGGAGCGCGGCAGAGGGAGCCCAGACGCUGCCUUAGCCUCCCUAGCCCUCAUGCUGACCUGCCCGCUCUGAGCUGGGCCCAGUCUUUGCCUUGCUUCUCAGAGAACAAGAUUUCCCUCAUUUCCAAGGCAGAUUAACACUCGUCUGAGCUUAUGACCGCUCGGCCCAUGCCAUGCUGCCCUGGGUCUUGACCUCUCCCUUACCUGCCUCUUUUCACGGUAGGAAUGCCUGAAUCUCCAUCUUCACACGCCAAACACACACUUGCCCUCCUGCCUUGCCCUCCGGAUUCUUCCCGGACUCCCCUUCACCCACCACCACACUCGUUGGAAGAACAGCAUUUGUCUCCGCUGCUUUGGUGCAUCAGUCCCGCAGUAGCUGAGGUCUGCCCUCAGAGAACAUUACCCUGCACUUGCCAGCCUUCAAAUGCCUUGGUUCUUUUUUGGCCCUAAAUUAAUGGUGUGCAGGCUGCACACUGCUGGUGUCCCUCCCUGCCUCCAGCGCCUUCCCUUGGUCCUGGGACUUCCACUCCUGCCAUCCUUCUCCCGGCUCUGUCUGCUCCGCUUCUGACUCUCCUCUUCCCCUCCAGUAAGGACCCCUAGAAAUGGUUACUUUCCAGGUCCUGACCUCCAUCAUCUUUGAAUUAAAUUUUUAAUUGUUAGACAACUGUACAUUCACAUGCAGUUAUAAAUAAGGCACAGAGAUCCCAACCAGGCACCGUUUACCUGGUUGGCCCCAGUGGUGACAUCUUGCAAAACUUGAGUGCAAUGUCACUAGCAGGUUGCUGAUAUGAUAAAGUCAAGAUACAGAACAUUUCCAUCAGCACUGGGAUGUCGACCUUUUACAGCCACAUCCACUUUCCUCCUGCCUCCCACCCCCACAUAUGUGGCAAUCACUAAUCUUCUUUCCAUAUCUAUAACUGUAAUUUCAAGAAUGGGACAUAAAUGGAAUCACAGACCAUGGAACCUCUUGAGAUUGUCUUUUUGCACUCACUAUGAUAAUUCUCCGGAGAUUCAUCCAGGUUGUUGAAUGCAUCAAUGGUUUAUUCCUUUUUCUUACUGAGUAGUAUUCUCUGGUGUGAAUUUACCACACUUUGUGUGGACUUCCUCCCACUGAAAGACAUCUGGGUCAUUUCCAGUUUGUUGCUAUUAUGAAUAAAGCUAUUAUACACCUUUGUGUA